rnacentral:rRNA from 1 species
GACGAACGCUGGCGGCGUGCUUAACACAUGCAAGUCGAACGGAAAGGCCCUGCUUUUGUGGGGUGCUCGAGUGGCGAACGGGUGAGUAACACGUGAGUAACCUGCCCUUGACUUUGGGAUAACUUCAGGAAACUGGGGCUAAUACCGGAUAGGAGCUCCUGCUGCAUGGUGGGGGUUGGAAAGUUUCGGCGGUUGGGGAUGGACUCGCGGCUUAUCAGCUUGUUGGUGGGGUAGUGGCUUACCAAGGCUUUGACGGGUAGCCGGCCUGAGAGGGUGACCGGCCACAUUGGGACUGAGAGACGGCCCAGACUCCUACGGGAGGCAGCAGUGGGGAAUAUGGCACAAUGGGCGGAAGCCUGAUGCAGAAACGCCGCGUGCGGGAUGACGGCCUUCGGGUUGUAAAACGCUUUCGCCUGUGACGAAGCGUGAGUGACGGUAAUGGGUAAAGAAGCACCGGCUAACUACGUG